rnacentral:rRNA from 1 species
AACUAACGCUGGCGGCGUGCCUAACAUAUGCAAGUCGUACGAGAAAGUCGGCUUCGGCUGAUGAGUAAAGUGGCGCACGGGUGAGUAACGCGUGGAUAAUCUGCCCUUAAGUGUGGAAUAACGUACCGAAAGGUGCGCUAAUACCGCAUAAUACUGAGUGACUACUGUUGCUCAGUCAAAGAAGGCCUCUGUUUACAAGCUUUUGCUUUAGGAUGAGUCCGCGUACCAUUAGCUAGUUGGUCGGGUAAUGGCCUACCAAGGCGACGAUGGUUAGCUGGUCUGAGAGGAUGAUCAGCCACACUGGAACUGAGACACGGUCCAGACUCCUACGGGAGGCAGCAGUGAGGAAUAUUGCGCAAUGGGGGCAACCCUGACGCAGCAACGCCGCGUGAGUGAGGAAGGUUUUCGGACCGUAAAGCUCUGUCGAGCGGGAAGAAAUGUAUCAUGGCUAAUAUCCAUGAUACUUGACGGUACCGCUAAAGG